UACAGAGGGUGCAAGCGUUGCUCGGAAUUAUUGGGCGUAAAGGGUAGGUAGGUGGUCUCGUUUGUCUGAGGUGAAAUCCCUGGGCUUAACCUAGGAAGUGCCUCGGAAACGGCGAGACUUGAGUUCUGGAGAGGAUUGCGGAAUUCCUGGUGUAGCGGUGAAAUGCGUAGAUAUCAGGAGGAAUACCAGCGGCGAAGGCGGCAAUCUGGACAGACACUGACACUCAACUACGAAAGCGUGGGUAGCAAACAGG
rnacentral:rRNA from 1 species